AUGAAUGAUGUAUUUGCAUGGCAGCCUGCCAGAGGGAACCCAGCUGUCAUAAACCUGAACAUGGAACUACAAUCCAUGAUGAGACGCUUUUAAAUAAGUAUUACUUCCUGACAAGGAUCUGUGCUCUGGCAAUGCAGAUAAUUUAUGCAGGAAGCAAUAACUACUGUAAUGAAUGAGUCCUCCGAAUGAACAGGACUUAUUACAUGAUGGUGAGCAUCCGUAUUCCUGUGAAAUGUGUCAUAAAUCAUUCACUCUUCAAACUACACUGAAGAUUCAUCAACGCAUACACAAUGGGGACUGUCCAUAUUCCUGUGAUGUGUGUAACAAAUCAUUCAUUCAACAGAGUCAUCUGAAGGCACAUCAGCGUGUGCACAG